rnacentral:lncRNA from 1 species
AUUAGGCUGCUGUUAUUUAUGUUUUUAAUUUGUUUCUGCAAUUGAGUGGCAGUGACGAUUAAAACUACUUUUAUUUGGGAUUGCAAACUUUUUUAUUGCUACUUUGCUACUACUUGGUUUAUUAUUUUAGUUGGACUGAAUUAUUGAACUUUACUGCUUGAUUUUGCUUGGUUGUUUUGAAGUGUGAAAUAUGAACUUGUUUAACUUGCUAAUUCUUGUUGUGAUUGAAAGUGAUAAGCUUGUGCCUGUUGAAGGGGAAAAAGGCUGAACUGGGGUUUUUCAAUUCUAUCUCAUAGAAGGAUAGAAAGUGAUAAACUUGUCAGGCUUUGUUUGAUGGCUUUUCAAGGGUAUCUUCCUGAGUUUGUCUUCCACCCAGAACAGGGCAUGUGCAGGCUCCCUCAG